AAGCCAUUACCAUGUGGCUACCUUUUAAGGAGAAACCAGAACCAGUAAGACCAAAGGAGAAUCCUGACACCUGGUGAGGUGAAGGAGGAGGGCCCUAGUACCUUUAUUUGUUGGCAGAACUGGACUUCUGAGUCCUCAAAAUCUAAGGACCAAACAUCAACUUCACAAUAAGGAACCUGAGCACUGGUAGAAGGGAGACAAUGGUUACUUCUUUUCACGGAGUCUUAAUUCUAUCUGCCAGUUGCUUUUUGCUUGUGCAUUCAUUGAGGGUGUACAGAAUGGAAUUACAGAGGCAGAAGAAAAUGAGGUCUCUGCCAAAUUGAUAGUCUAAAAAACAUUUUAGUGGCCUACUUAACUGUAAUUUGUUUUAGCUUUAUACAAGAAAAGCCUCAGUAUGUAAACAAACAGACGGGAGUGAAAUAGAUAUGGAAUGCAAAGCACAUAGGCGAGACAUGGGGCUCCUGAAGGGAAAUUAGAAGUUGGACAACAUUUCAUCCGAUGAACAAGGUUGCACUGGAGACAGAGUGGAUUAAAUUACUUGGCUGAAGUGACAGGAAUGAAGAACAGAAUACAUCCACUCCUCCAGUCUCAUUAAGCUGCCUCUUUCUCCCGAAAUUGGAUUGGGAUUCCAGGACACCUCUCAACCUACAGGAAACACUGGAUCUAAAGCUGAAAAAGGCUUUUAAAAAGAUUUGCACAAUACAUCCUUCAUAUUGUUAUUUUUAUCUCUGUAAGUUUGUAAUGGCCUCUAAAAAAAAGCUGUGUAACAAGAGCAUCAGAUGUUACUUUGCUCACUGUUGAAGGCUGUGAAGAACAGAAGAAAACUAAGGAAGAAAACCAAGCUAGGAAGGGCAAUGAAGGAACGGGUUAGAGUUCAAAAGUAGAAGUGUGUUCCACACAUAAGAAAGAGUUCAGGUACCUGAGUCCGUGGCAAUGCAAGGACAAGAGAUGUGCUUUUAGAGAGACUUGAGCUUGUCAAUGUGACUCAGCUCUGGAAGACCAA